CGAUCGUGGGAAGGGUUUCCUCCGUGGAGUUGAAAGGGAGCACAGGAUCACUGUUCAAUGUGGAGGACAGGAUUCUGGAGAUCUGCACGCAGACAGACCUUGACACAUCAUACGCAUUGGAUGAUGAGGUGGUGCCUGAACGAAAAACAACUCGCAAGGAUCAGAGGUGUGGUGUUUCUGCAACAUUUCCUCUUUGGCGUCAUCGCUGUUAAGUAAUGUCAGAUGAACGAUGUUGAUGUUGCGGCUGGACUGCGCUGCUGUGUUGUUCUUGUCGUAAACUGAAAGAAGGCAUCUCAUCUUGUGCACAAGUAGAGUGGAAGUGAAAAGAUUCUACAUGAUCCAGAAGUAAUUGUUCACAUGGGGUACCUUUUUUGAAGUUGGCAUUGGC